AGGCUGAGACCCCAGCAUCCAUAAGUCAGACACCUUCUUCCUCUGUGGGUUCUCCAAGAAGUACAAAUUCAUCUGUAGAAGGGGGAAAAGAAGUGAGCCGUCACCAUGAGUACGGACGCGGAGAUGCAAAUCUACGGCAAGGCUGCCAUAUACCUCCGUAAGCCUGAGAAGGAGAGGAUGGAGGCACAAACCGCACCGUUUGAUUCAAAGAACGCCUGCUAUGGCAGACACCAAGG